GCCUUUGUAGCUAAGUGGUUAAGGCGUCACACUUGUAAUGUGAAGAUCCCCGGUUCAACUCCGGGCGGAGGCA